rnacentral:snoRNA from 1 species
UAUUAAGGAUGAACAUUAUUCCGAACCUGAUUCCUGUAAGAUUGACAACCCUGUCGGAUCUGACUUCUGAAAU